rnacentral:rRNA from 1 species
AUCUACGGCCAUGCCACCCUGAACACACCUGAUCCUUUCUGAUCUCGGAAGCUAAGCAGAGUUGGGCCUGGUUAGUACUUGGAUGGCAGACCACCUAGGAAGACCAGAUGCUGUAGGUG